rnacentral:rRNA from 1 species
AACGAACGCUGGCGGCAGGCCUAACACAUGCAAGUCGAGCGCGCCCUCCGGGGUGAGCGGCGGACGGGGGAGUAACGCGGGGGAACGUGCCCUUUUCUACGGAAUAGCCUCGGGAAACUGAGAGUAAUAACGUAUACGCCCAUAGGGGGUAAGAUGUAUCGGUAAAGGAUCGGCCCGGGUUGGAUUGGGUGGUUGGUGGGGGAAUGGCCUACCAAGCCGACGAUCCAGAGCUGGUUGGUGAGGAAGACCAGCCACACUGGGACUGCGACACGGCCCAGACUCCUACGGGAGGCAGCAGUGGGGUACCUUAGACAAUGGGGGCAACCCUGACCUAGCCAUGCCGCGUGAGUGAUGAAGGCCUUAGGGUUGUAAAGCUCCUUCAGCUGGGAAGAUAAUGACGGUACCAGCAGAAGAAGCCCCGGCUAACUCCGUG